AUUUGCACAAAUUUCUCUUCUUAAUUUCCAAUUUUGCCUACUAAUUUGUCUACUAAUUUGUUAACCAAAGCUGGAAGAUAGAGAAGGUAAGAAUGAAGACGCAACAACAACAAAGGAACUUUCACCAAAACCUGUUGCUUAUGACUUUUUCCCCUGUUAUUGCAUGCAGUAAAGUCUUUCAAAUUCAUAUGAGAAUGUCAUUCAUUUCUCACGUUGAUCAAACAUUUUGCUUACUGAACAAUCACUCUUUUCAAUGAAAAUGAUGGAUGGGUAAGAACACGGAAUCACAAACUCUGAAACUUUCAAUUUCCUUUUCUUUUCCUUCUGCGUCUUCUUUGUGAGCAUGACUACUUUAAAUAACGUGCAAGCCUUAAAUGCAGACUCUGCUGCCACCUUGAAUAGUAGUUUUGCUAUCCGUUAACUUCUUUUCUCCUCAGUCUAUCGAGGAUAAACUAAAGCCAUCACUAUCAAACAAGUGAUGAAAAAAGAAAAAAAAAACAAAUGUGCGCACUUUUUCCUUACCAAUACACCCAAAACAAAGACAACAAUGAAUUAGUUCUCACCUUGUUGUUUGGUCAGAAUCACUCUUUAAUGUGAACGAAAGAGAAAACAGCUUCACAAGUAUUUAUCAAUACACAAGUCAAAAUCUGCCUUGAGCAACUUUCUUUAAUUGAAGUAGCUUAGAAU
rnacentral:lncRNA from 1 species